GAUGAACGCUGGCGGCGUGCCUAAUACAUGCAAGUCGAACGAGGUGCCUUUGUAGCAAUACGAAGGUAUCCUAGUGGCGAACGGGUGAGUAACGCGUUGGUGACCUACCCCAAAGUGUGGGAUAACAGAUCGAAAGAUCUGCUAAUACCGCAUGUGGUCUUCGGAUUUAGAAACUGAUGACUAAAGGAGCAAUUCGCUUUGGGAGGGACCUGCGUCCCAUCAGCUAGUUGGUGAGGUAAUGGCUCACCAAGGCUACGACGGGUAGGGGACCUGAGAGGGUGGCCCCCCCACAAUGGAACUGAAACACGGUCCAUACACCUACGGGUGGCAGCAGUAGGGAAUAUUGCACAAUGGGCGAAAGCCUGAUGCAGCAACGCCGCGUGUGCGAUGAAGGCCUU
rnacentral:rRNA from 1 species